rnacentral:tRNA from 1 species
GGAGAGGUGCCGGAGUGGUCGAACGGGACGGUCUCGAAAACCGUUGUACGGGUAACCGUACCGUGGGUUCGAAUCCCACCCUCUCCGCCA